UGAAACGCGUUGAGAGGAAACAGUACGCUAGUUAAUUUUGUCAGAGAGUUCCAGUGUGGUGAGAUGGAAUAAAAAUUAGUUAGUCGAACAUCAUCCUUGAGCGAUUACUUGAAAGCUUUGCCGGUAAAGUAAAUUGGAUGCACCCAUUAUAGUGCCCGCGUAUGUUUGUACGUUUGAGGUCUAGCUAGUAAUAGCUAGAUAAAAUUAGGUGGUAACACGGUGUUUCCCGUCCUAUCA
rnacentral:ncRNA from 1 species